rnacentral:rRNA from 1 species
UACGUAGGGGGCAAGCGUUGUCCGGAAUCAUUGGGCGUAAAGAGCGUGUAGGCGGCUCGGUAAGUCCGCUGUGAAAGUCCAGGGCUCAACCCUGGAAUGCCGGUGGAAACUGUCGGGCUAGAGUCCGGAAGAGGCGAGUGGAAUUCCUGGUGUACGCGGUGAAAUGCGCAGAUAUCAGGAGGAACACCUAUUGCGAAGGCAGCUCGCUGGGACGUUACUGACGCUGAGACGCGAAAGCGUGGGGAGCAAACAGGG